GUGGGGAAUUUUGGACAAUGGGCGCAAGCCUGAUCCAGCAAUGCCGCGUGCAGGAAGAAGGCCUUCGGGUUGUAAGCUGCUUUUGUACGGAACGAAACGGUCCGGGCUAAUACCCUGGGCUAAUGACGGUACCGUAAGAAUAAGCACCGGCUAACUACGUGCCAGCAGCCGCGGUAAUACGUAGGGUGCAAGCGUUAAUCGGAAUUACUGGGCGUAAAGCGUGCGCAGGCGGUUUUGUAAGACAGGCGUGAAAUCCCCGGGCUCAACCUGGGAAUUGCGCUUGUGACUGCAAGGCUGGAGUGCGGCAGAGGGGGAUGGAAUUCCGCGUGUAGCAGUGAAAUGCGUAGAUAUGCGGAGGAACACCGAUGGCGAAGGCAAUCCCCUGGGCCUGCACUGACGCUCAUGCACGAAAGCGUGGGGAGCAAACAGGAUUAGAUACCCUUGUAGUCC
rnacentral:rRNA from 1 species